rnacentral:rRNA from 1 species
GACGGAGGAUGCAAGUGUUAUCCGGAAUCACUGGGCGUAAAGCGUCUGUAGGUUGUUUAAAAAGUCUGCAGUUAAAGGUUGAAGCUUAACUUCAAAGAUGCCGUGGAAACUUUUAAACUUGAGUAUGAUAGGGGUAGAGGGAAUUUCCAGUGGAGCGGUGAAAUGCGUAGAUAUUGGAAAGACCACCAAUGGCGAAGGCACUCUACUGGGCCAUUACUGACACUGAGAGACGAAAGCUAGGGGAGCGAAUGGG